UACGUAGGGGGCAAGCGUUGUCCGGAAUCAUUGGGCGUAAAGAGCGUGUAGGCGGCCCGGUAAGUCCGCCGUGAAAGUCGGGGGCUCAACCCUCGAAUGCCGGUGGAUACUGUCGGGCUAGAGUGCGGAAGAGGCGAGUGGAAUUCCUGGUGUAGCGGUGAAAUGCGCAGAUAUCAGGAGGAACACCGAUUGCGAAGGCAGCUCGCUGGGACGUAACUGACGCUGAGACGCGAAAGCGUGGGGAGCAAACAGG
rnacentral:rRNA from 1 species